AACUUUUGGCAAUGGAUCACUUGGUUCUGGCAUCGAUGAAGAACGCAGCGAAAUGCGAUAAGUAAUGUGAAUUGCAGAAUUCAGUGAAUCAUCGAAUGUUUGAACGGACAUUGCGCCCUCUGGUAUUCCGCGGGGCAUGCCUGUUCGAGCGUCAUUACAGCCCUCCAGCUCUGCUGGGGAUUGGGCUACACCCGACUGGGUGGGGCUUAAGAUCAGUGGCGGUGCCAUCUGGCUCUAACCGUUGUAAUUCUUCUCGCUCGGGAGAUCUAGGUGUUUGCUUGCCAGCUACCCCCGAUUUAUCAAAGGUUGACCUCGGAUCAGGUAGGGAUACCCGCUGAACAUAAGCAUAUCAAUAAGCGGACGCU
rnacentral:misc_RNA from 1 species